AAUUGUAAACAGCAAUAAUGUUCAGCAAAGUAAGAUCUACAAAUAAGUCAACAUGACCAAAAUGGUCAGUUGACCCCUUUAGGAGUUAUUGCCCUUUAUAGUCAAUCUUUAACCAUUUUUCAUAAAUCUAAGUAAUCUUUUACAAAAUCUCCACUGAAACUACUAGGCCACAAUCAUCUUUGGGGUAUCUAGUUUGAAAAAUGUGUCCGAUGACCUGGCCAUUCAACCAAGAUGGCCGCCACGGCUAAAAAUAGAACAUGGGGGUAAAAUGCAGUUUUUGGCUUAUAACUAUGAAACCAAAGCAUCUAGAGCAAAUCUGACAAGAAGUUAAAUUGUUAAUCAAGUCAAUAUCUAUCUGCCCUGAAUUUUUCAGAUGAAUUGGACAACUGGUUGUUGGGUUGCUGCCCUCCAAUUGGUAAUUUUUAAAGAAAUUUUGCUGUUUUUGGUUAUCUUGAAC
rnacentral:lncRNA from 1 species